GAUGAACGCUGGCGGCGUGCUUAACACAUGCAAGUCGAACGGUGAAGGCGGAGCUUGCUCUGCUGGAUCAGUGGCGAACGGGUGAGUAACACGUGAGCAAUCUGCCCCUGACUCUGGGAUAAGCGCUGGAAACGGCGGCUAAUACUGGAUACGAGCUGCGAAGGCAUCUUCAGCAGCUGGAAAGAAUUUCGGUCAGGGAUGAGCUCGCGGCCUAUCAGCUUGUUGGUGAGGUAAUGGCUCACCAAGGCGUCGACGGGUAGCCGGCCUGAGAGGGUGACCGGCCACACUGGGACUGAGACACGGCCCAGACUCCUACGGGAGGCAGCAGUGGGGAAUAUUGCACAAUGGGCGAAAGCCUGAUGCAGCAACGCCGCGUGAGGGACGACGGCCUUCGGGUUGUAAACCUCUUUUAGCAGGGAAGAAGCGAAAGUGACGGUACCUGCAGAAAAAGCGCCGGCUAACUACGUG
rnacentral:rRNA from 1 species